UGGUGAAUCUUGCGCAAUGGGGGCAACCCUGACGCAGCCAUACCGCGUGAGUGAUGAAGGUCUUCGGAUUGUAAAGCUCUUUCGGCGGGGACGACGAUGACGGUACCCGCAAAAGAAGUCACGGCUAACUUCGUGCCAGCAGCCGCGGUAAUACGAAGGUGGCGAAUGUUGCUCGGAUUCACUGGGCGUAAAGCGUCUGUAGGUGGCUUGUUAAGUUAGAGGUGAAAGCCCCGCGCUCAACGUGGGAAUUGCCUUUAAAACUGGCGAGCUUGAGAAUAUCAGAGGAUGGCGGAAUAUCCGGUGUAGAGGUAAAAUUCAUAGAUAUCGGAUGGAACACCCAAGGCGAAGGCAGCUAUCUGGGGUGUUUCUGACACUGAGAGACGACAGCGUGGGGAGCAAACA
rnacentral:rRNA from 1 species